GCGCAAUCAUCUUAGGGAUAGCGAUCGCACUUGUGUACUAAUCAGGUUUGCGCAGGCGACAGGGGUGUAUCAAACUCCUCUUUACACAGGUGACGGGCAGAACAUGCAGCACCCUAGGAAGGACCCAACCGCGCGCUAUCUUAAAGUCUGCAGGAUCUGACGAAUCACAGGGGAUGAAAGAGUGAUCCCGCGGCUUUUAAAUUAUAUUCCACAAUCGCCCAGCCUCGUGCGGUGGCACUCUAAUGAUCUUGAGGUUCAUUUUUGAUCAGAGUUCCCAGAGUUUAUCUUUCGCAGAGUGAUUGGGUGUACAUGUGAAUAACACCGGAUAAAUAUGGGACUUCCGUUAGGGCGUGGAACGGCCCGAGUUUUGUAAGCGGGUGGUGCAAUCCCACUUUUAUCACUGAGCGCGAACAGUCGCUCAAGGAGGUCCGAUGGCGCAUGCAGCUUCCUUCGAUCUAGAUUCACGAUUCUGCACGAAAGCGUGGAGUCCAACCACGUUUAGCUACCUCGGUACUUCCCGCCCUCAUCGAUGUUUACUAGUUGUCGCGCUGUUAAUUAACGUGGUAACGCAGAUAACGCGUGAAGUAGACUGCCUGGCGAGUACGGUCGCAAGAUUAUAACUCAAAGGAAUUGACGGGGACCCGCACAAGCGGUGGAUGAUGUGGAUUAAUUCGAUGCAACGCGAAAAACCUUACCUACCCUUGACAUGGAAGGAAUCCUCGAGAGAUUGAGGAGUGCCCGAAAGGGAACCUUCACACAGGUGCUGCAUGGCUGUCGUCAGCUCGUGUCGUGAGAUGUUGGGUUAAGUCCCGCAACGAGCGCAACCCUUGUCAUUAGUUGCUACAUUCAGUUGAGCACUCUAAUGAGACUGCCGGUGACAAACCGGAGGAAGGUGGGGAUGACGUCAAGUCCUCAUGGCCCUUAUGGGUAGGGCUUCACACGUCAUACAAUGGUACAUACAGAGGGCCGCCAACCCGCGAGGGGGAGCUAAUCCCAGAAAGUGUAUCGUAGUCCGGAUUGUAGUCUGCAACUCGACUACAUGAAGUUGGAAUCGCUAGUAAUCGCGGAUCAGCAUGUCGCGGUGAAUACGUUCCCGGGUCUUGUACACACCGCCCGUCACACCAUGGGAGCGGGUUUUACCAGAAGUAGGUAGCUUAACCGCAAGGAGGGCGCUACCACGGUAUGAUACUAAGGGAAU
rnacentral:rRNA from 1 species